CUUCAUUUUGCUGUUGACAAUCACACUUCCAUUGCGGAAGUUCAGUAUUUCCAGUUGCUUGAAGCCUGUUAGGUUGGACUGUAGCUGCAUGAACUGCUGUUCGAGUGCUUUGUAUUCUGAGGAACUCCGAUUGAAGAGGUCAUCGGAAAACCGCAUGUUGGUUACUCUCAAGCUGAAGAAGACUACUAGCUCUUUGCCUUUGGCUGCAGUUGUCAUUGAGCUGGUGGUGACGUACUUCAGUGGAGGAGCUGGAGUCAUAUCUGGAGUUUCAGGCAGUGCAUAGUAGCCACUUCCAUCCUCACUAAUUGUUGCUGGCCUCAUGAUGUCAACCGUAUCUAGUUCAGUAGCAAUAUCUUGCACCCCCAAGUCAAAUCCUGUAGGGAUGUCACCGUCAGUCACUGCCCACCCAGAGCUUGUUGCUUCGAAAGACUGGUCAAUGACAACAGAAGGACCACUGGUAGUCACAGCAGGCAAUAAAAUGAUCUGAUCUGUAGGCCCCAAAAUAUCAUCUUCAGGAAGAGAGGUGGGAAGAGCAGGAGAACCAAUGACAUAUGGUAUAGUAGUUAUUGCAGCCAAAAUCUCAUCACCUGAAGAUUCCAGGUCAUCAGUAAUCUUUACAUCUAAAAAGGAAGCAACAUGUUGAACAACAACACUGUAGAAAACACACAUUUAAGGUCUGCUAUGGAAGAUGUCGAAGCGGAAUUGUUUCCCUAUUAUGGCAUUUAUGCCCUACUUUCCACUGAAAACACGCACACAAGAUGGCUAAAGAAUAAUUAAAAUCCAAUUCGGGUAAUUGAAAUGACAGUAAUUCAGCAAAAUACAAAUCAGGGCGCCUUAUUAAAAUGUCAAUAAGCUGCAGCAAAUAAAUACAGGAAUUCAACUCCAA